GCCACCCCGAAGAAAAAGAGCCUUAGUUAUGCCAUCCUGCCAGCCCAGGGUCAACAGAUCCCAACCAACUGCCGAGAGAUGGACUCCAUCCGAGCGGUAGUACCCUGGCAAACCACCUUCCAACUCGCUGUGUCGAACUACCACGCCCCCUAGCUUCCGCACGAAGCUUGCCAUCAAGCUAUUCACUUUCUUCCUACAUCUGUCAAUAGCCUCCGGGUCCCUAGCAUGCC